rnacentral:tRNA from 1 species
GCCCUCAUAGUUCAACGGAUAGAACGCGCGCCUCCUAAGUGUGAAAUGCAGGUUCAAUUCCCGCUGGGGGCACCA